CUGGAUGUGAUGGACAAUCCAAGACCUAUGAUUAUCCGUGAUGUUGGAUGUAUUCAUACUGUCUGAUCCAG